CUGAAUUUGUCUCUCUUUUGGUUGAGAUCUUUCAUAAAAACAUAUAAGGAGGAGAUUGUGUUGACCCGAAUUAUUAACCUGAUGGAGUUGCAAUCAAGCUAAGGGUAUAAUUCAAUGGGCUUUGGUCCUGGUUAGAUUGAAAGUUAUAAUUAUAUGGAAAAAUAUUUGAUUAACCCUUUUAUUAAGUCACGGUCUGAUCUGGUUGAGUUCAAUUUGAAGCGGUAUAGUAAGAAUUAAAUGUCAUUGGGCUCGAGAACAAAUUCAAGCAAAUCAACAAUCAUGACCCACCUCAAACCCAAAGUCAAUUCCCAACCAAUGCCUUGCGU
rnacentral:lncRNA from 1 species